CUGAAAGCAUCUAAGCACGAAACUUGCCCCGAGAUGAGUUCUCCCUGAGACUUUAAGUCUCCUGAAGGAACGUUAAAGACGAUGACGUUGAUAGGCCGGGUGUGUAAGCGCAGCGAUGCGUUGAGCUAACCGGUACUAAUGAACCGUGAGGCUUAACCUUAC
rnacentral:rRNA from 1 species